UACGGAGGGGGCUAGCGUUGUUCGGAAUUACUGGGCGUAAAGCGCACGUAGGCGGCUUUGUAAGUUAGAGGUGAAAGCCCGGGGCUCAACUCCGGAAUUGCCUUUAAGACUGCAUCGCUAGAAUUGUGGAGAGGUAAGUGGAAUUCCGAGUGUAGAGGUGAAAUUCGUAGAUAUUCGGAAGAACACCAGUGGCGAAGGCGACUUACUGGACACAUAUUGACGCUGAGGUGCGAAGGCCAGGGGAGCAAACGGG
rnacentral:rRNA from 1 species